rnacentral:tRNA from 1 species
GAAGCCUUAGCUUAAUUAAAGUGUCUGAGUUGCAGUCAGGUGAUGUAGAAUAAUACUCUGUAGGCUUU